UAUUUCUUAAAAUUUGUUAUAUUAAUAGUUUCUUAAUUUUUAGUAUUAUUAGAAAUUAUAAUUAUUUUUUAAACUGUGAAGGUUAAAAUAUAAAAUAUUAAGAAUUAGUUUUUAGUACCUUUUGUAUCAGGGUAAGUUAAUUAAUUUAAUUAUUUUAUUUUCCCGAAUAAAAAAGAUCAAGUUGGUUGAUAUUAAUUUGUGUCAAAAAAUUUUGUAAUAUACUACUAGUAAUUAAAUGUUAGUCGUUUUUUGUUUAUCUGGUUGUUAAGGAAAAAAUUUAAUUUUACAUUUUUUUAAUUGUUUUAUAUUAUUAAUAUUUUAAGUGUAAUUUUACUGGGGAUAAUCUCAGUAAACUCAUUAUUAUGUNGNNNNGAUAUGUAUGUUAUUUUUUUUCUUUUAAAUUUUGUAUUAAGUUUGUAUUAAAUUAGUUUCAUUUUAUAUUAUUUUUUUAUGUAUAUUUUUAUACUUAGCUUUGAGAUUAAAUUUUUAUUUUUUAUUAAUAAUGAUUUAAUUAGUAUAAUAGAUUAUUUUAAAGCUAAUGAAUUCGACAAAUAUUAUUUCCAACUGUUUAUCAAAAACAUUUCUUUUUGGUUUUAUGUAAAAAGUAUCUUCUNCCCUAUGGUUUAAUUAUAUCUAAAUGGCCGCAGUNUUUUGACUGUGCAAAGGUAGCAUAGUAAUUAGUUUCUUAAUUGGAAGCUUGUAUGAAUGGAUGUAUGAGAAUUAUAUUUUAUUUCUUAAAUAUAUUAAAAUUUAAAUUUAAAGUUAAAAUGCUUUAGUUGAUUAUUGGGACGAUAAGACCCUAUAGAACUUUAUAUAAAAUUUUUAUUAUUCAGUUUAGAUUAUUUAUAUUUUAUAAUAAUGAGUUAUAAUUUGCUGGGGUGGUGGCUAAAUCAAUAACUUUAGUUUUUUUUAUCAUUUAUUUAUGUAAGUUUGGAUCCUUUCUUUUAAGGAUAAUAAGAUUAAGUUACCUUAGGGAUAACAGCGUAAUUUUAAUGGGGAGUUCAUAUCUAUAUUAUAUUUUGCGACCUCGAUGUUGAAUUAAGAAUAUUUUAAGAAGCAGUAUUCUUAAUAGAUAAGUCUGUUCGACUUUUAAAUUCUUACAUGAUUUGAGUUCAAACCGGCGUGAGCCAGGUUGGUUUCUAUCUGAUAAAAAUUCAUAAUUGAUAUUUAGUACGAAAGGACCAAUGUUAGUCACUAGUUUGUGUGAAUAAU
rnacentral:rRNA from 1 species